rnacentral:rRNA from 1 species
CUGGCGGCGUGCCUAAUACAUGCAAGUCGAACGGUCUUUCUAUGGAAGCUUGCUUCCACUGAGAAGAUAGUGGCGAACGGGUGAGUAACACGUGGGUAACCUGCCCAUAAGAGGGGGAUAACAUCCGGAAACGGGUGCUAAUACCGCAUAGUUUUCUUGAUCGCAUGAUCGGGAAAGGAAAGACGGCCUUUGUGCUGUCGCUUAUGGAUGGACCCGCGGCGUAUUAGUUAGUUGGUGAGGUAACGGCUCACCAAGACGAUGAUACGUAGCCGACCUGAGAGGGUGAUCGGCCACAUUGGGACUGAGACACGGCCCAAACUCCUACGGGAGGCAGCAGUAGGGAAUCUUCCGCAAUGGACGAAAGUCUGACGGAGCAACGCCGCGUGAGUGAAGAAGGUUUUCGGAAUCGUAAAACUCUGUUGUCAGAGAAGAACAAGUUGGAGAGUAACUGCUCCAGCCUUGACGGUAUCUGACCAGAAAGCCACGGCUAACUACGUGCCAGCAGCUGC